rnacentral:rRNA from 1 species
UUCUAUGGAGAGUUUGAUCCUGGCUCAGGACGAACGCUGGCGGCGUGCCUAAUACAUGCAAGUCGAGCGGAGUUUCCGCGACGGAAGCCUUCGGGUGGAAGACGCGGGGACUUAGCGGCGGACGGGUGAGUAACACGUGGGCAACCUGCCCGGAAGACCGGGAUAACAUCCGGAAACGGAUGCUAAUACCGGAUAGGCGGUCUUCU